rnacentral:tRNA from 1 species
GUCGGCGUGCUGGAAUUGGUAGACAGACGUCGGAGUGGACGAGGUUGCGGGUUCAAAUCCCGCCGUCGACCGACCA